UAUCGUCCGGCCGUCGAUGGUUCCCCGACGGACCAAGUCCAGGGGAUUAAUAGGGAACACGGUGCGGACGACCCAAUCGGGGCCAAGACCGUGGCUGCCCCCGCAACUGUGAGCGGAUAGUUCGACGUCGCAGCGAGACCACUGGGGCAACCCGGGAAGGUCGGCGUCGGACAGCGACCCGCGAGCCAGGAGACCUGCCAGCGACCGUGUCAUUGC
rnacentral:ncRNA from 2 species